UAAAAGUUUACGAGACCGACGUGUGCGCUCGAAAACCGGAAAUACGUCACUUGACCGGCACUCGCCGUAAACGAGUGAGAGAAGUUAACGUUUUUAAACUACAUUUUAAGGCAGAUUAUACACGGUAGUCACGGACUGUACAACGUGUAGCGCUUUCAUUUAAAUUUUCCAUGUUUUUAUACAUUAUUUUAGAUGAUUUGUAUCUUAUUCUUCUUCAUGUGAGCGUGGUGGGGUGACGCCCUAGCGCCCUCUAUGGACGGACCGCCACAACUGAGCGUCAGAAUGGAGACACAUACAUAAUGGAGAUAUGGUGAUAUAAGAAAAUGACAUGGUUGUUGGUGCCAGACGGCCUGGUCAUGCUCAACAAAAUCUCCAGGGAUUGCAAAGAAUGGAGAGAGAAAAAAGAGAAAAUAUCCAGUGAGCACCACUACUUCUUUGUUGAUGCCAACAAGAGGCAAGAGCAACUCAAAUAACCUCAAUCAAGAGUCAGUGCUGAAGUUCAGAAGCUCACGGUGAUAAAUAAAGCAGCUGUCAGCGUGAGUGAGGAGGCGUGAAGAGACGUGAAGAGACUUACUGUCAUGGAGUUAGUAUGGACCCAGUUCAAAACCUCGAUCACUGCAGCAGCUGCAACACUCUGUGGCCAGAAGGUGGUUGGUGCUUGUCACUGGUGGCAGCCAAAGAGCUACAGGAGGUGGUGAUGGAUGACAGAGACCUUCCAAGCUCAGUUGGCAUCAGUCCAGGGAAGAGGUGACUGGCCAGAGCUGCAGCUGAGGUAAG